rnacentral:rRNA from 1 species
UGGGGAAUAUUGCACAAUGGGCGCAAGCCUGAUGCAGCCAUGCCGCGUGUAUGAAGAAGGCCUUCGGGUUGUAAAGUACUUUCAGCGAGGAGGAAGGCGUUGUGGUUAAUAACCGCAGCGAUUGACGUUACUCGCAGAAGAAGCACCGGCUAACUCCGUGCCAGCAGCCGCGGUAAUACGGAGGGUGCAAGCGAUAAUCGGAAUUACUGGGUGUAAAGCGCACGCAGGCGGUCUGUCAAGUCGGAUGUGAAAUCCCCGGGCUCAACCUGGGAACUGCAUCCGAAACUGGCAGGCUAGAGUCUUGUAGAGGGGGGUAGAAUUCCAGGUGUAGCGGUGAAAUGCGUAGAGAUCUGGAGGAAUACCGGUGGCGAAGGCGGCCCCCUGGACAAAGACUGACGCUCAGGUGCGAAAGCGUGGGGAGCAAACA